rnacentral:rRNA from 1 species
GACAGGGGGUGCUAGCGUUGCUCGGAAUCACUGGGCGUAAAGCGCACGUAGGUGGUCCCGUAAGUCGGGUGUGAAAGCCCUCAGCUUAACUGAGGAACUGCGCCCGAUACUGCGGGGCUUGAGGUUGGGAGGGGAGAGUGGAAUUCCUGGUGGAGCGGUGAAAUGCGUAGAUAUCAGGAGGAACACCGGUGGCGAAGGCGACUCUCUGGUCCAAUCCUGACGCUGAGGUGCGAGAGCUAGGGGAGCAAAC